rnacentral:rRNA from 1 species
GACGAACGCUGGCGGCGUGCUUAACACAUGCAAGUCGAACGGAAAGGCCCUGCUUUUGUGGGGUGCUCGAGUGGCGAACGGGUGAGUAACACGUGAGUAACCUGCCCUUGACUUUGGGAUAACUUCAGGAAACUGGGGCUAAUACCGGAUAGUAGCUCCUGCUGCAUGGUGGGGGUUGGAAAGUUUCGGCGGUUGGGGAUGGACUCGCGGCUUAUCAGCUUGUUGGUGGGGUAGUGGCUUACCAAGGCUUUGACGGGUAGCCGGCCUGAGAGGGUGACCGGCGACCUUGCGACUGAGAUACGCAGCAGUCUGCUACAUGAGGCAGUGGGCGGAAAUAUUACACAAUGGGCGGACGCCUGAGGCAGCAACGCUCCGUGCGUGAUGACGGUCUUCGGGUUGAGAACCGCUUUCGCCUGUUACGAAGCGGGAGUGACGGUAAUGAGUAAAGAAGCACCGGCUAACUACGUG